GCGUGGCCUACAAUUGGGACAAAAAGGAAGGUUAUGGAACCAACAGCUGUCCAAAUCUGAAAGCUUUCAAAGGGGUUUUCUUUCCUCCUAAUUUGAGAUUCUGGAGGAAAACCAGCAAACGUGACCCAAGACUCAUCUUGACGCAGGGUCCUGGUGGCAUCAAGUUCUUCAGAUGAGCAACAGAAUUAUUUUUAUUAGGUCUUUUUUUGUGUGUUUA